GACGAACCGUGCGAACGUUAUUCGGAAUCAUUGGGCUUAAAGGGCGCGUAGGCGGCGGUGUAAGUUGGAAGUGAAAUCCCAUCGGCUCAACCGUGGAAUUGCUCCCAGUACUGCAUCGCUCGAGGGGGGAUAAGGGUUUGCGGAACUACCGGUGGAGCGGUGAAAUGUGUUGAUAUCGGUGGGAACGCCAGUGGCGAAAGCGGGC
rnacentral:rRNA from 1 species